rnacentral:rRNA from 1 species
UGGGGGAUAUUGCACAAUGGGCGAAAGCCUGAUGCAGCGACGCCGCGUGGGGGAUGAAGGCCUUCGGGUUGUAAACUUCUUUUGCUCUGAACAAGGCAUGCUAAUGGGUGUGUUGAGUGUAGGGGUUGAUUAGCGCCGGCUACCUACGUGCCAGCAGCCGCGGUAAUACGUAGGGCGCGAGCGUUGUCCGGAAUUAUUGGGCGUAACGGGCUUGUAGGUGGCUGGUUGCGUCUGUCGUGAAAGCUCAUGGCUUAACUGUGGGUUUGCGGUGGGGACGGGCGGGCUUGAGUGCAGUAGGGGAGGCUGGAAUUCCUGGUGUAGCGGUGGAAUGCGCAGAUAUCAGGAGGAAUACCGGUGGCGAAGGCGGGUCUCUGGGCGGUUACUGACACUGAGGAGCGAAAGCAUGGGGAGCGAACAGG